GUGAUGUGAGUUGAUGUGAGGUGUUUGUGCAGUAGAUCUAAGGACUGAGGUGAUGUGAGAUGAUGUGAGGUGUUUGUGCAGUAGAACUUAUGGCUGAGGUGAUGUGAGAUGAUGUGAGGUGUUUGUGCAGUAGAUCUCGGGACUGAGGUGAUGUGAGAUGAUGUGAGGUGUUUGUGCAGUAGAUCUCAGGACUGAGG